rnacentral:lncRNA from 1 species
CAAGUUUAUCGGUUCAUGUCGCCAAGUUUACCAAAAUACACAAAAGUCAACGGAAAUUUUGGACUAUCUAUAUAUGUAUGAAGGGGUCAAUGCAUCAUUUACACGUAUCAGAAUACUUUCACAUUUAGUUUCGCUACAACGAUGGUGAUGUUUCGUCUGUUCUGCUGUUUCGUCAGCUGCACCAAAAUAAGACCGUCCUCGCCUCCACCGCAUGUGGUUGAAACGAGCAAGAAAGUUCCACCCAAAGUGGCCAGAACGGAGAAGAAAAAGCCACGGCCGUCUCCGAGGCCGCCAGUAAAGGCUUCAGGGCGUCGUAAACGCUAUGGUAAAGACGCUGGCGGUGUCGCAGGUUGCGGUGGUGGAUGUGGUGGCGGCUGCUAGUUAUAAUGAAGACAUGAGGUUUCGUAGUGAAAUGUGAUUA